AACGAACGCUGGCGGCAUGCCUAACACAUGCCAGUCGAACGAGACCUUCGGGUCUAGUGGCGCACGGGUGCGUAACGCGUGGGAACCUGCCCUUAGGUUCGGAAUAACUCCCCGAAAGGGGUGCUAAUAUCGGAUAAUGUCUUCGGACCAAAGAUUUAUCGCCUUUGGAUGGGCCCGCAUUGGAUUAGCUAGUUGGUAGUGUAAAAGCCUACCAAGGCGACGAUCCAUAGCUGGUCUGAGAGGAUGAUAAGCCACACUGGGACUGAGACACGGCCCAGACUCCUACGGGAGGCAGCAGUGGGGAAUAUUGGACAAUGGGCGAAAGCCUGAUCCAGCAAUGCCGCGUGAGUGAUGAAGGCCUUAGGGUUGUAAAGCUCUUUUACCCGGGAUGAUAAUGACAGUACCGGGAGAAUAAGCCCCGGCUAACUCCGUG
rnacentral:rRNA from 1 species